UUCCCCAUUAAGCACCUUACUAAUUAAGGACAAGGUCAUCCACUUCAAAUGGUGGUCUGCUAGCAGCCUGGCUCCCAGCACUGGCUCCAGCGUCCUCCAAGCUUACUGCAGGGACACUGGGCCUCGGCUCCCUGAGUAUUCCCUCUGGCUUCCCUGUGUCCCCUCUUUAUGACGUAUAGUUAUCUGAUCCACACGUUCCCUCCUCCCUGAAGCUGAUCCUCGUCUUGGCCCUCCUCCACGCUCUCACGGAUUUGUACCCCUGUCUUUGUUGGCUUGGCUUUGGUUUUUGGGCUUUGGUGUUUUGUUUUGUUUUGUUUUGUUUUUUAAGGCAGGGCUUCUCUGUAUAGCCCUGGCUGUCCUGGAACUCACUCUGUAGACCAGGCUGGCCUCGAACUCAGAAAUCCGCCUGCCUCUGCCUUUGGCUUGCCUUUAUAAGUUGAGUAGCUGGACACUUGUCAUUUGCAUCUUCUCUGAGUCCUAAGAACAAACUCUUAGAAGGGAGGAACUUUUACUCCUCCUCUGUUCUGGUAUUGGCCUCAGAUCUGGUCUCUAUUCUUUACAGUUGACGCUUACACUGGUACCUAGAAAAUUUAAAUAUGGUAAACGUUCAUGUAGGUCACCAUAUGUGCAGUUUACACAGCCAGGUUUUGUGCUUGCCUUUUCAUUGGCUGUGUCUUGCCACUGAUUGCAUACCCACUCAUAUGUUAUAUAAACCAGGCAUCACGAAUUCAAAUGUCUUCAGAGCAGAGGAAGCUAAUACAAAUAAGAGGCUUGGCCAAUACAACAGGAUAGUUUUCAAAUUAGCCAUAUAGGAAUAUUCUCAUGGAAAAAUGCUCCCCCUCCCCCCGUUGAAACAGUAUAUAUAGACUGCCUUACUUUUCCCCCUGGGGAGAGUUACAAAGGCAAGUAUUGUCUUUUUACUGUGUAUACCUAAAGUACAGUGAUGCGGGGUAGCCGGGAGGGAAGAGAGCUUGGUGAGGACGGGACUGCUACAAAGUGCCUGACCCAUGGAAUGGUAACUGCCUUCAAGGAAAGUACCAGCAUUCCCUGAUAAAGGUAAUUGGAAAUCUGGAUUUUUAUGUGAAGUGGUUUUUACAAAAUACUGCGGAGACUACUAGAAGCUACAUUUGGAGGUUACAAACUACCUGCCAUAAUCUGAGGGCUUCUGAUGUAUAUCCUGAGGGCUGGUAAUAAUUCUGAAAGGCAUUGUUAGGAAGGCUUAUGUGAUUAAGUUGCAUAUAUAAAUGUAUGAUCACUUUGUAUCUGAUAUUUUGGAAAGGCAGUUGUUUUCCCUGAGCAAGGCAAUACAAUACACUCAGUGAAUUUGCAGUGGGCUUCCCCUUCCCCGGCUCCUGAAGGUAGACAUGAGCCGUUUACACAGAAAAAGGAACCAGCGAGCCUGCCCUUGGGUUCAGUGGAGCCAGCAGCUGAGCGGCUGUGCUGAGCUGGUGAAUUUGACCAGAAUGCCUGCUGUAAACAUGCUUUCUGUUGCCACUGGA
rnacentral:lncRNA from 1 species